GAAGUAACUGCUGUUGUAUUUUAUAGAUGCAUUUUCCUAAUGCGCCACUCUGUAAUGAUUAAUCUUAUCU
rnacentral:ribozyme from 1 species